rnacentral:rRNA from 1 species
UACGGGGGGGGCAAGCGUUGUUCGGAAUUACUGGGCGUAAAGGGCUCGUAGGUGGCCAACUAAGUCAGACGUGAAAUCCCUCGGCUUAACCGGGGAACUGCGUCUGAUACUGGAUGGCUUGAGUUUGGGAGAGGGAUGCGGAAUUCCAGGUGUAGCGGUGAAAUGCGUAGAUAUCUGGAGGAACACCGGUGGCGAAGGCGGCAUCCUGGACCAACACUGACACUGAGGAGCGAAAGCUAGGGGAGCAAACGGG